AUCUUUGCACUCGGGGCAAUGACGCAGCUAGUGAGGUUCUAACCGGUGCGUCUAUUGCUGAUUGAAAACUAUAAAAUUGUAAUUUACAACUAUUUUAUGUUGGUUUUAAUUCCAUGCCAAAUUUUAUUAUAAUUUCUUCAAUCAUAUUUCUCUAUG